UUCUGGUUGAUCCUGCCGGACCUGACUGCUAUCGGAUUGAUACUAAGCCAUGCGAGUCAUUGUAGCAAUACAAGGCAUACGGCUCAGUAACGCGUAGUCAACCUAACCUAUGGACGGGAAUAACCUCGGGAAACUGAGAAUAAUGCCCGAUAGAACAUUAUACCUGGAAUGGUUUAUGUUCCAAAUGAUUUAUCGCCGUAGGAUGGGACUGCGGCCUAUCAGUUUGUUGGUGAGGUAAUGGCCCACCAAGACUAUUACAGGUACGGGCUCUGAGAGGAGUAGCCCGGAGAUGGGUACUGAGACACGGACCCAGGCCCUAUGGGGCGCAGCAGGCGAGAAAACUUUGCAAUGUGCGAAAGCACGACAAGGUUAAUCCGAGUGGUUUCUGCUAAAGGAACCUUUUGUCAGUCCUAGAAACACUGAUGAAUAAGGGGUGGGCAAGUUCUGG
rnacentral:rRNA from 1 species